rnacentral:rRNA from 1 species
GAUGAACGCUGGCGGCGUGCUUAACACAUGCAAGUCGAACGGAAAGGCUCCUGCUUGCAGGGGUACUCGAGUGGCGAACGGGUGAGUAACACGUGGGUGAUCUGCCCUGCACUUCGGGAUAAGCCUGGGAAACUGGGUCUAAUACCGGAUAGGACGAUGGUUUGGAUGCCAUUGUGGAAAGUUUUUCGGUGUGGGAUGAGCUCGCGGCCUAUCAGCUUGUUGGUGGGGUAAUGGCCUACCAAGGCGUCGACGGGUAGCCGGCCUGAGAGGGUGUACGGCCACAUCGGGACUGAGAUACGGCCCAGACUCCUACGGGAGGCAGCAAUGGGGAAUAUUGCACAAUGGGCGCAAGCCUGAUGCAGCGACGCCGCGUGGGGGAUGACGGCCUUCGGGUUGUAAACUCCUUUCGCUAGGGACGAAGCGCAAGUGACGGUACCUGGAGAAGAAGCACCGGCUAACUACGUG